rnacentral:rRNA from 1 species
GACGAACGCUGGCGGCGUGCUUAACACAUGCAAGUCGAGCGGAGCGGCGAAGGGGCGGGUAACGAGGGAGUAACUGCCCCCCUCUCGGGGAUAACAGUUGGAAACGGCUGCUAAUACCGGAUAGUGGGGGAUGACUCGCGUCCUAUCUGCUUGUUGGGGGGGUAGUGGCCUACCAAGGCGACGCCGGGUAGCCGGCCUGAGAGGGCGACCGGCCACAUGGGGCUGAGAUACUGACCAAACUCCUACGGGAGGCAGUAGUGGGGAAUAUGGCACAAUCGGGGAAACCCUGAUGCAGCAACGCCGCGUGCGGGAUGACGGCCUUCGGGUUGUAAACCGCUUUCAGCCAUGACGCGGUAGUGGCAGAAGAAGCACCGGCUAACUACGUGCCAGCAGCCGCGGUAAUUC